AGAUUUGGAGAUAUCAAAAUUUCUGGCUAUCCUCAGAGGUGCUGCAGACACCCAAUGACCACUGAAUUCAGAAGUAUUUAUCUCUGGAUGAUCAGCUGGUAGCUGCUUGUUAUUUUGAACACAUGCUAUCCCGAUGUGCUAGCUGCACGCAUCCCCCUCUGGUUCUACUGGAAGAAAUGCAGAACUUUUACAUGUGUGUCAGCUUUACGUUACUUUUGAUGGUAAAGGUAACUCCCCUUCAGUUUCCCAUACCUUCAGAGUCACUCCAGAGUACUGCUCCAGUUGUACGGCCAUGUAGAAGCCUUGUGACCAGAACAAAUUCUCAUCUGACUUAAUAAUGAGGGGAGGAAACACUGUUCAUAUUAUUACUCGUGUUUGGCAGAAAGUUUUUCCAUACAGUAUGGUAAGUACUUUAAAGGCCCCAUCAAGACAGUAGUAGAGCUGG